AAGUCGUAACAAGGUAACCGUAGGUGAACCUGCGGUUGGAUCAUUAACAAAUUAUUCAACUGAGUGUCUUUUGACAUUCCAGUUUGAACCCCUGUGAACUGUUAUCGUCUCUGGUGGGUUAAGGUAGUGUCUUUUGACAUGUCCACCCACCGAUUUUAAACUUUUAUUAUAUUUGACAUUAAAAAGUAUAUUUAAUUAUAAACAACUUUUGGCAACGGAUCUCUUGGCUCUC
rnacentral:misc_RNA from 1 species